AACAGAGAUUAAAGGAUGAAAGACAGUGACAGUUGGAGUGACAGCGUCGAUGAUGUUAGUCUUGACAAAGAAAAUGAAUUCUUUACAGAGAGUGUUCCUGCACCACAUUCUUUUUUUUUUAUUCCUCAAACUGCCUGGAAAACACUAAGAAAAAAACAAAAAAAAGAUCACUUUAAGGGAUUGCAGUGGACCAACAUUAUCUCUUCAGGCAUUCGCACAGUCCAUCCAUAUUGCAGUUUUGCCUUUACAGGCACAGGGUUAAAAUACAAGGAUCAACCAGGGACGCACCUGUUUUUAAAUGCUCUGGCUAUUGUAUGUUUACUGACUGUCCAGUAGAAGUUGAAGUUCUUGUUCACAGUGAGAAAACACUUAAAGCACAUGUGUCCUUCAGAGGUGACAUGUCAGUGCACAAUAAAAGAGAGCUCCAAAAGAGACCUGUAAGAGCCGAUGCCCAAAAGGAAAUAAGUCAGCAAUUGCAAACAACACUACCAAGGGCACUCUUCCUUCAGAAAAUAGAAAACCUUAGGGAAUCUGUGGUAGAAUCUGGCUGUCGAGAUGAGGCACCUUCGCCAGGUGUUUUGAAAUCCAUUUCCUGGAGACAAAGAAUGAAGGACAGGAAACAUAGAAAUGAAACUGUCAGUCUCCAGAUGAUGGUAAAUGAAAAAAGAGAUGAACCGGAUGAGGUAAUCCAGAAAGUUAUCCUUCAUCCGAAGGGUGUGAUGCUUUGGUCCAAGAAAAGCAUUGACAUAUUCCACCAAAGAUCUAAAUGCGACAUUGUCUAUUGUAAUACAUCUCCAUAAAAGGGAAGGAAGGAGUCGGGAACCGGAAGACAUUCAAAACAUUUAAUAAAGUAAUAUUCCCUCACGGACGACCGCCGCCGAACAAAACUUAAAUACAAAAGAUAAGAACAUAAAUAUAAACUUAACAUAACUUCGGGCCCGGUCCUCUCUCAUCGACGGUCCGGUCGCUCGUUCCUUUCAUAUGCUCCCAUCUCCUACGUGAUUCGAGCCCGGUGUGCGCACAUCUGGCGCUUAUUCACAAUUACUCACCGGACUCGAACCACGGUCUCGCCCCGUCUACUCUACUACAUCUAUAUUGACGCAACAGGAAGCAUUGUGAUGAAAAGUAAAGACAACACAGGUCCUUUUUACAUAUAUGAGCUAGUGGUCAGAAACCCAAAUAAGGGUUCCUCUCCUUUUCCAGCAGCUACCUAUGUGACCUGUGACCACACAACCUCAUCAAUUGUGUAUUUUCAGAGUGCUUUCUAAACAGAUCAUGCCAAGCAAUAUGGUCACAAAAACAUCCGUCCACUUAUGAUCAUAUGUGAUGGAUCCUUGGUGCUCAUGCAUGCCAUUUCACUCGUCUUCUGCCAAACCAACCUCAAUGCCUUGCUCCAAAGUUAUUUUAGAAUUCUGACAGGGAAAGGGACUGCUGAAGACUUUGAUCUGCCUAUACUCCACCGCUGUCUUAGUCAAAUCAUGAAAAAUGCUAAAUCCCUGUGCAAAAAGCAUGCACCAAAGAACUACAAGCUGGCCAUGCAUAUUUUUGGACUUCUGACCACAGCAAGGUCCAUUGCUGAGUUUGAUGAUAUGCUCCUGAGCUGCACUGUCAUCUUCUCAAGCCCAUGCAGCUCAGAAAAUGUUGAAAAACACUUCAACAACAUUCAGGCUUUGUUGACCACUGUUGGAGAGUCAGUGGUUGAUGACAACAGCAUAGUUUCUGAGGACCUUGAGGGCACCUUCAGUCAAACGCCUUUUCACAAGCAUUUCAUGAAGGUCAUAGGCACUGCACCCCUCAACAAGCAAGGGGAUCCUAAUGUGUACUAUACUGAGACAUUCAUCUCCUCAUUGGCUGCACACUUCUUGAGUCAUGCAGCUCUAUGGACAAGCAUGAUGCUGGGGGACCUGGGCAGGCAUGGUGAAGGACCCCCAUACCAGCUUUUCUCAAAGAAAUUUUCCAAAAUUUCUAAGAAAAAAUGCCAGGUGUGAUAUCAAUCUGUACUGUACUGUAAACCCUUUUUAUUUUUCUUAUCAGAAUUUCACACAAGACAACAAGACUCAAGGAAUUAUGGAAAAAAGUCAGUGGAACUUGAAGAAAAUUUGCUUUAGAGGCAGACGACUGAACAGACUUGAUGACUUCAUAAUGACCUAUAAAGACACCCACACUGCACUUCUGAGAGAAUUUAAUGAUGCGGAACGUAUCACUAAACGAAAGGCGCACCGUAUUUUAAAGGAGAAGUGGAGGCAGCGAAAGCAAAGAAGGAGAGGAGUCUAUGUUACCGCCAUCAACAAGCCAUUUCAUUUAAAAAAAGCAGUGGUAACAUGAAGCACAUUUGGAUACUUUAGUAAAACCAAUUUCUUCAAAGAUAUUUCUAGUUUACUAGUUAUGUCUUUCCCUAAAUAAACCAGGUGUCUACAGCUCAGAGGACAACCGGCAGACCAUCUCCUGACAGACAAACACCAUCAGUGUCAGCACAGGAACCAGAGACAGAGAGCCAAGACAAAGAUGCUUUGGAGGUGAACUUGGCUGUACUGUCUUUUCAGGUGUACACUUACACCUUUAAGUUAAAAUUGUACAUUUUGGUCUGAGACAUAUUGAAAAAAUUUGAUUGUACCAGCCUUUAGUAUACGCUACUUAAGUUAUACCACAUUCUUCAAUGAAAUUUCCAGUUUCUAAUGUCUUUCCCAAAAAUAAACCAGGUGUCUACAGCCGGCAGACCUUCUCCUGACAGACAAACACCAUCAGUCUUAGCACAAGAAGCAAAGACAGACAGCCAAGAGAAAGAUACUUUGAAGAAAGGGAGGAAACCGCUAAAAGCAAAAAGACAAAAAUCCUAUGGACCACUUUGGAGAGAUCACUCACCGGAGAAAGUAAUCCAAGCCAGAAAAUUGGUGAAAGAAGUAGUGAUCAAAGAAGGACAAAGGUUAAGCAUCCUGCACCCACAAACUUGGCUCAGCAGUGAUGAAAUGGAUGCAGCUUGUUUUUACAUUUCUCAACAGUUCCCUGAUAUAGAUGGGUUUCAGUCCAACCUUCUCUAUCAGUGUCUUCACCAAGGGGGUGUGGUUGGGACACCACAGAAACCAUUUGUUCAAAUAUUGCACAUAAAUGACAACCACUGGAUCACAGCAAGCAACCUUUUCUGUGGACCAAACGAGGUGUGCCUAUAUGACAGCCUAAACACAAACAUCACCAAGCAGACAAAUCAAAAGUUGUCCUGGUUGAUUCGUCCACAAGCCCCCCAGUUUAAGAUAAAAAAACCUGCAGUACAAAUGUAGCAGUCAUCUAGCAGUUGCGGAGUUUUUGCAUUAGCCUUUGCAACUGUCUUAUGUGAUGGAGUCAAACCAGAAGAGUGCCAGUUUCAAGAAAGAAACAUGUACAGAGCUUUGAGGAACAAAUAGGCUCCAGUAUUUACAUAUCAGAUAAUACAAGCAAAACCUGAAAGGGCCACAUUCCAGGUGGACGUUCAAUGUAUCUGCAGGACCUCACACAACCAAGAGGUGAUGGUGCAGUGCAGCAACUGCAAUAACUGGUACCACCCCAACUGUGUGUCUGUCCCACACACAGCUUUGGACACCACAGCAGAAGAGUGGAAUUGUGAAGUCUGCACUAAUUAAAAUCUACGGUAUAGAGGUUUGGAGUUAAUUUUAUACUAUACUAAAUGUUUGUGCUGACAUUGAAAUGUUCAGGUACUUGGGAUGAUGUUGCUUAAUAUAGAAUGAGUAAAUGUUACAUCACAAACAAUGUUUUUCUUCAAAUGUAGUCCAGAGAUUGGAGAGCAUUGGAAACAGGUUAGUGUUGAAAUCAGUGCACAUUGAAAGCACAAAGCGUGAGCAUAAACAGUUCUUGGUUUGUUGCAGGUGCUUAUGGGCGUGUUGUGGACUCUUGGAGAGGACUUUAACUGAAGACUGGCAAGAAUCCAACUAUAACUGACUAAGUUAUUCCAUGUGGAGAGAUCAGAACAGACUGAUUUCAUGUGUGUGUGCAUGCGUAUGCAUGCGCACU